rnacentral:rRNA from 1 species
UACGUAGGUGGCAAGCGUUGUCCGGAUUUACUGGGCGUAAAGAGCGCGCAGGCGGUCGUUCAAGUCGCGUGUGAAAGCCCCCGGCUCAACUGGGGAGGGUCACGCGAUACUGAUCGACUCGAAGGCAGGAGAGGGUAGUGGAAUUCCCGGUGUAGUGGUGAAAUGCGUAGAGAUCGGGAGGAACACCAAUGGCGAAGGCAGCUCGCUGGGACGUUACUGGCGCUGAGACGCGAAAGCGUGGGGAGCAAACAGG